GUGCAGCCGCCGCGGUAAUACCGGCAGCCCGAGUGAUGGCCGAUCUUAUUGGGCCUAAAGCGUCCGUAGCUGGCUGCGCAAGUCCGUCGGGAAAUCCACUCGCCCAACGAGUGGGCGUCCGACGGAAACUGCACAGCUUGGGACCGGAAGGCUCGAAGGGUACGUUCGGGGUAGGAGUGAAAUCCCAUAAUCCCGCACGGACCACCGAUGGCGAAAGCACUUCGAGAAAACGGAUCCGACAGUGAGGGACGAAAGCUAAGAUCGCGAACCGGAUUAGAAACCCUAGUAGUCC
rnacentral:rRNA from 1 species